rnacentral:rRNA from 1 species
UACGAAGGGGGCUAGCGUUGUUCGGAAUGACUGGGCGUAAAGGGCGCGUAGGCGGUUAGAUGAGUUUGGUGUGAAAGCCCUGGGCUUAACCUAGGAAUUGCAUUGAAUACUGUCUGACUAGAGGCUAAGAGAGGAAAAUGGAAUUGCGUGUGUAGAGGUGAAAUUCGUAGAGAUGCGCAAGAACACCGGUGGCGAAGGCGAUUUUCUGGCUUAGUACUGACGCUAAGGCGCGAAAGCGUGGGGAGCAAACAGG